UACGAAGGGGGCUAGCGUUGCUCGGAAUUACUGGGCGUAAAGCGCACGUAGGCGGAUUGUUAAGUCGGGGGUGAAAUCCUGGAGCUCAACUCCAGAACUGCCUUCGAUACUGGCGAUCUCGAGUUCGGGAGAGGUGAGUGGAACUGCGAGUGUAGAGGUGAAAUUCGUAGAUAUCGUAAGGAAGACCAGUGGCGAAGGCGGGUCUCUGGACAGUUCCUGACGCUGAGGCACGAAGGCCAGGGGAGCAAACGGG
rnacentral:rRNA from 1 species